UACGUAGGGGGCAAGCGUUGUCCGGAAUCAUUGGGCGUAAAGCGCGUGUAGGCGGCUCGGUAAGUCCGCUCUGAAAGUCCGGGGCUCAACCCCGGGAGGCGGGUGGAUACUGUCGAGCUGGAGCACUGUAGAGGCAGGUGGAAUUCCGGGUGUAGCGGUGGAAUGCGUAGAGAUCCGGAAGAACACCGGUGGCGAAGGCGGCCUGCUGGGCAGUGGCUGACGCUGAGGCGCGACAGCGUGGGGAGCAAACAGG
rnacentral:rRNA from 1 species